rnacentral:rRNA from 1 species
UACGUAGGGUGCGAGCGUUAAUCGGAUUUACUGGGCGUAAAGGGUGCGCAGGCGGCCCGUUAAGACAGGUGUGAAAUCCCUGGGCUCAACCUAGGAAUUGCGCUUGUGACUGGCGGGCUCGAGUACGGUAGAGGGGGGUGGAAUUCCUGGUGUAGCAGUGAAAUGCGUAGAGAUCAGGAGGAACACCGAUGGCGAAGGCAGCCCCCUGGGCCUGUACUGACGCUCAUGCACGAAAGCGUGGGGAGCAAACAGG